rnacentral:rRNA from 1 species
UCAGGACGAACGCUGGCGGCGUGCCUAAUACAUGCAAGUCGAACGGUCUUUCUAUGGAAGCUUGCUUCCACUGAGAAGAUAGUGGCGAACGGGUGAGUAACACGUGGGUAACCUGCCCAUAAGAGGGGGAUAACAUCCGGAAACGGGUGCUAAUACCGCAUAGUUUUCUUGAUUGCAUGAUUGAGAAAGGAAAGACGGCCUUUGUGCUGUCGCUUAUGGAUGGACCCGCGGCGUAUUAGUUAGUUGGUGAGGUAACGGCUCACCAAGACGAUGGUACGUAGCCGACCUGAGAGGGUGAUCGGCCACAUUGGGACUGAGACACGGCCCAAACUCCUACGGGAGGCAGCAGUAGGGAAUCUUCCGCAAUGGACGAAAGUCUGACGGAGCAACGCCGCGUGAGUGAAGAAAGGUUUUCGGAUCGUAAAACUCUGUUGUCAGAGAAGAACAAGUUGGAGAGUAACUGCUCCAGCCUUGACGGUAUCUGACCAGAAAGCCACGGCUAACUACGUGCCAGCCGCCGC